GUGCCAGCCGCCGCGGUAAGACGUAGGAGGCGAGCGUUGUCCGGAUUUACUGGGCGUAAAGCGCGCGCGGGCGGUCCCGCAGGUCGCUUGUGAAAGCCCCCGGCUCAACCGGGCGGAUGCGGGCGAAACCGCGGGACUGGAGGGCGAUAGAGGGUGGUGGAAUUCCCGGUGUAGUGGUGAAAUGCGUAGAGAUCGGGAGGAACACCCGCGGCGAAGGCGGCCACCUGGGUCGGCCCUGACGCUGAGGCGCGAAGGCCGGGGGAGCGAACGGGAUUAGAUACCCCGGUAGUCC
rnacentral:rRNA from 1 species